rnacentral:piRNA from 1 species
UGUCUCACUUUUCAAAAAUCUUCCGAAGA